CUUGUCUGCUGUGUCUUAGAGAAACUGGUUGACUCUUGGGUAUAGCAGGUAAUUGACUUCACAUUUUAAAUUGGUCCUUCUCCAUAUUUCCUACGUAGGUAUCUAAACACCAGGUCUCUGGGCAGGUCCUCUGACGGCAGCUGCACCUGCUGUGUCAGUGUCACCCUUGACCCCUCUGCUCCCUGACCCCGGCCCUGAUGCUGUGAUUCUUCCCACCUGCUUGCCAUGAAGGUGCCAUUCGUAAUGAUGGAGGCCAUUUCAUUCUUUAUUUUUAUUAAAUGACAAUAAAUACUUUUUUUCUUGGCUAAAACUACUCUGUACUUUGACUUCUAGUGAAGAGACUAUUUUAUAAAGUUCCUUUCCUUUUUUAUAGGAAACUAUAAAAGUUUAUAGUUUAAAGUUAUAAACUUUUUUAUAGGAAACUUUAUAAAGUUCCUUUCCUUUUUUACUUUUUAAAGUGCCUAACAUUUAGUACAGAUUGAAGAAACACCUAGUGAUGAUCAGAAAAGGAGAACAGGCAUUUGGACCGUAGAUGGGUCCUCGUUUAACAAACAAAAAAGCAAUACAGAGGGACUUAAUAAACAGUCCAAGAAGUGAUCAUUCCAGCAUAGUUGAGGUUGGUCAGACCCUUCUUGGAAUGGUGUUUCCAGAUUUUAUCUUUAUCUUUUAUAAAGGACAAGCUAAAGACAAAAAUAGGAAUGCCAAAAAUUAUUUAAAAGUGUCAAGGAGAAAAGUCUGUCUUGGAGUUUCUUCCUCUGAGAAAGAGAACGGUACAGGGUGAUGUACAGCUUCUAAUGAUGCUGAUGAUGACAGUUACAGUGAGGCUGACAGCAGUUGCUGAUUGUGGACUGUCUGCUCUGCCAGGUAGUGUGCUGGGUGCUUUAUAUUACAGUCUAUAUGUUAAUGCCUCCAUUUUACCAAGGAGGAAAUAGAAGCUUAAUAUAAGAUCCCUCUGGGUCCCAAACCUACAUUUCCCCUCAGGCCGGUGCCUCAAGCAUAUAGUUAUUACAAUAACAAGUGUUUGACACUCACAGGCAUCUUACAAUAUGGAGAUUGGGAGAAGGAUAUCCCAGAUUAUAUUUCUCCCCGCAAGUUUCCUGGGUUUUUAAGCAAAAUUGGACAUAUUAUGAAGUAAACUAACUUCAGGUGGAUUUGCUGUUGUGUCUCUCAGUCUUGUUCUCACAGUCAGUGGGGGGAGGUUGAAUCUAAUAAUACUUUGACAUCUACCUUCCUUAGGAAUUUGACAUCACAGGGACAUCCGAUUGUCACAAUUACAGCCCCAAAGGAGCUGAAACCGGCAUUUAAAACUAGUUUUCAGGGAUUGGCUAAUUCUUUCUUGCCAAACAAAACCCGAAGCUGUUUUCAACUUCUGCAGUUCCAGGUGGUGGUAGACCAGCCUCAGUCUUCAUCUCCAAUCCCUUAUCACUUUUUACUUCCUUAAAGGAAUCUUUUACAGUUUUAAGGAUCUGUUCAUUGAUGGCUCUAGAGAAACGCAUUCCCUUGUUAGAACCUGUGGUAAGGAGAGCGCCUUUAUGCAAGACAGAAGCCUUUAGUUGCCUGGCUGCAGGAGCCCUCUGCCUUCCCCAUUCCUUCAGCUGCCACCUAUUUCUAAUCCUGAUACCAGGCUCUAGUCCGUGCCUGGUAUCGCACAUUGAAAUUCAGACUCCCUUUUCCCUUAAAAUUAACAUUAUAACUUGGACUUGGGGAGGGCAGUCAUUGAAAUCCUGUUAGAGGCAGUCUUUUCUAUAAUUGGAAACUUUGCUAUGUUCCUAAAUAUUUAUUCUAUUCAAAAAUAUGGGCUUCCCUGGUGGCACAGUGGUUGAGAGUCCACCUGCCGAUGCAGGGGACACGGGUUCAUGCCCCGGUCCGGGAAGAUCCCACAUGCUGCGGAGCGGCUGGGCCUGUGAGCCAUGGCCACUGAGCCUGCGCGUCUGGAGCCUGUGCUCCGCAGCAGGAGAGGCCACGACGGUGAGAGGCCCACGUACCGCAAAAAAAAAAAAAAAAAGUGUGUUCUAAGCUUCAGACAAGCUUUGUGAGCACAUCUGAAUUGGAGAUUGGGUGGUCUGGAGCAGCAGUCUUCCGUUUAGUAAAUAAUGACUGAACUUUUUCUACAUGCUAGACACUGUGCUGGUGGUAGUGGGGAACAGGGUAGGCCCAAUCGCUCCCUCUCCCCUUGGAGCUUAGACUCUACAAGAAGGCAAAUUAAACAAAUUAUCAUUGGCUCUUUUUCUAAGAGAGUUGUCUAAGACAACUCCAAUAAUUUUUUAAAAUUUUAUCAACACAGGCCCAAUCUUCUUUCAUUCCACCCUCCCCCCGCUGCCAACACACACAUAUCUUGCAUUGUUAUCAGACAUUAUAUCCAUAUAUAUGGACUUUUUUAAACAUAACCACAAUGCCGUUUUCAGUCGCUUCAAGGUAACAGUAUGCAGUGUUCACAUUUCCCCAGUCACCUCGUAAAGUUUUUUUUUACAGUUGAUUUGUACAAAUUAGGAUCCAGACAAGGUCCCCAUAUUGCCUUUGUUGCAGCUCUUAAUCUGCAGUCCCUCCAUACCGUUUUUCAACGUCAAGGUUUGUUUGUCAAAGAAGCCACAUUGUUCAUCUUAUGGAGCUUCUCGAGUCUGGAUUUUGUAGCUUGCAUUUCCAGGGUGUCAUUAAUGUAUCUCUCUGUCCCCCUGUAUUUUCUAUAAACGGAAGUUAGAUGUAGAGGCUGGAUGGGGUCCAGAUUCCAGUCCAGUUUCCGUGGCAGGGCUGCUCAUAUAUGGUGCUGUGUAUCACACUAAGAGCCACACGGUGUCUAGGUGUCUCUCUUUUAUAACGUUAAGCUUGAUCGUAGGGUCAGGAGGUCAGCAUCAAUUGUAAGAUGCGCCAUCAAUUACAAGUAUGACUUUGGGAAGGGGAAGAGGGAAACCUUAUGUUAUAUGUGCACCAAACAUUGUAAUAUGUUGAAACAUCCACCCAAUUCUCAGAAUGCUAAAUGUGAAAAAGAUGUGUCCUAGAAUCAAGAAAGCACAAUGUGGGGGAGGGGAGGGGUUCCCACGCUCGGAAGGGCCCACUCACGGCGAGGGAAUCAGCGCGGACAGGGAGAGACCUUCGGGGGGUUGGGGGAUCGGAGGGGAACGCAGCCAGCGGCUCCCCUGCCUGCUUGGCCCCGGGCCUGAAACUCUGCCCUCCAGGGUCGCCUCUGGCCGCAGAGGUCCUGAGCCUAAGCCCUGCCCCCCAGAGCCUCUUCUGGCCUUUUUUUUUUUUUUCUGUUGUGGUCCUGUUUUGUUCUUGUUUCAUUCUUAUUUUUAUUUUUUCUAAUAUAUGUUUUAUUUUUGUAACUUUAUUUUAUUUUUUAUUCUUUGUUAUUGUUCUGCUCCUUUUUGUUUGUUGCCCAUUUCUUGUUUUUGUUGUGGCACUGUGUGGCUUGCGGGGGGUCGGGCCUGAGCUCCUGUGAGAGAAGCACUGAGUCCAAACCCCUGGACUAACAGAGAACUUCAGGCCCAGAGAAUAUUACUCGGUGUGAGCUCUCCUGGAGGUCCUCAUCAUGGCACCAAAACCCGGCUCCACCCAACUGCCUGCAAACUCCAGAGCUGGAUGCCUCAGGCCAAACAACCAGCAAGACAGGAUGCAGCCCCACCCAUCAAAAAACAUGAGACAACAAAAAUAUAUGUUACAGAAGAAGGAGCAAGGUAAAAACCUACAAGACCAAAUAAAUGAAGAGGAAAUAGGCGACCUACCUGAAAAAGAAUUCAGAGUAAUGAUAGUAAAGAUGAUCCCAAAUCUCGGAAAGAGAAUGGAGGCACAGAUCGAGAAAAUACAAGAAAUGUUUAACAAGGACCUAGAAGAACUAAAGAACAAACAAAAAGUGAUGAACAACACAAUAACUGAAAUGAAAAAUACACUUGAAGGAAUCAAUAGCAGAAUAACUAAGGCAGAAAAUAUAGCAAAUCUGGAGCAAAUAAGUGAGCCUGAAGAUGGAAUGGUGGAAAUAACUGUGGAGGAGCAGAAGAAAGAAAAAAGAAUGAAAAGAAAUGAGGACAAUCUCAGAGACAUCUGGAACAAUGUUAAACGCACCAACAUUUGAAUUACAGGGACCCCAGAAGAAGAAAAGAAAGAGAAAGGGUUUGAGAAAAUAUUUGAAGAGAUUAUAGUCGAAAACUUCUCUGACAUGGGGAAGGAAAUAGCCACCCAAGUCCAGGAAGCACUGAGAGUCCCAUAUAGGAUAAACCCAAGGAGAAACAUAGCUGAGACACAUAUUAAUCAAACUAACAAAAUUUAAAUUCAAAGAAAAAAUAUUAAAAACAGCAAGGGAAAUCAACACAUAACAUACAAGGAAAUCCCCAGAAGGUUAUCAGCUGACUUUUCAGUAGAAAUUCUGCAGGCCAGAGGGAGUGGCAGGAUAUACUUAAAGUGAUGAAAGGGAAAAACCUAUAACCAAGAUUACUCUACCCAGCAAGGAUCUCAUUCAGAUUCAACAGAGAAAUCAAAAGCUUUACAGACAAGCAAAAGCUAAGAGAAUUCAGCACCACCAAACCAGCUCUACAGCAAAUGCUAAAGGAACUUCUCUAAGUGGGAAACACAAGAGAAGAAAAGGACCUACAAAAACAAACCCAAAACAAUUAAGAAAAUGGUCAUAGGAACGUACAUAUCGAUAAUUACCUUAAACGUGAAUGGAUUAAAUGCUGCAACCAAAAGACACAGCCUUGCUGAAUGGAUACAAAAACAAGACCCAUAUAUAUGCUGUCUACAAGAGACCCACUUCAGACCUAGGGACACAGAGCCUGAAAGUGAGGGGAUGGAAAAAGAUAUUCCAUGCAAAUGGAAAUCAAAAGAAAGCUGGAAUAGUAAUACUCAUAUCACAUAAAAUAGACUUUAAAAUAAAGAAUGUUACAAGAGACAAGGAAGGACACUACAUAAUGAUCAAAGGAUCAAUCCAAGAAGAAGAUAUAACAAUUAUAAAUAUAUAUGCACCCAACAUAGGAACACCUCAAUACAUAAGGCAACUGCUAACAGCCAGAAAAGAGGAAAUCGACACUAACACAAUAAUAGUGGGGGACUUUAACACCUCACUUACACCAAUGGACAGAUUAUCCAGACAGAAAAUAAAUAAGGGAAUACAAGCUUUAAAUUAUGCAAUAGACCAGAUAGACUUAGUUGAUAUUUAUAGGGCAUUCCACCGGAAAGCAGCAGAAUACACUUUCUUCUCAAGUGCACAUGGAACAUUCUCCAGGAUAUAUCACAUCUUGGAUUACAAAUCAAGCCUUGGUAAGUUUAAGAAAAUCGAAAUUGUAUCAAGCAUCUUUUCCGACCAUGAUGCUGUGAGACUAGAUAUCAGUUACAGCAAAAAAACUGUAAAAAACACAAACACAUGGAGGCUAAACAAUAUGCUACUAAAUAACCAAGAGAUCACUGAAGAAAUCAAAGAGGAAAUUUAAAAAAACACCUAGAAACAAAUGACAGUGAAAACAUGAUGACCCAAAACCUAUGGGACGCAGCAAAAGCACUUCUAAGAGGGAAGUUUAUAGCAAUUUAGUCUCACCUCAAGAAACAAGAAAAACCUCAAACAAUCUAACUUUACACCUGAAGCAACUAGAGAAAAAGAUUAAAAAAAAAAAACCAAAGUUAGUAGAAGGAAAGAAAUCAUAAAUAUCAGAGCAGAAAUAAAUGAAAUAGAAAACAAUAGCAAAGAUCAAUAAAACUAAAAGUUGGUUCUUUGAGAAGAUAAACAAAAUUGAUAAAACUUUAGCCAGACUCAUCAAUAAAAGAAGGGACAGGACUCCAAUCAGUAAAAUUAGAAAUGAAAAAGAAGAAAUUACAACUGACACCACAGAAAUACAAAAGAUCGUAAGAGACUACUACAAGCAACUAUAUGCCAAUCAAAUGGACAACCUGGAAGAAAUGGACAAAUUCUUAGAAAGGUACAACCUUCCAAAACUGAACCAGGAAGAAAUAGAAAAUAUAAACAGACGAAUCCCAAGUAAUGAAAUUGAAACUAUGUUUAAAAAUCUUCCAACAAACAAACAUCCAGGGCCAGAUGGCUUCACAGGCAAAUUCUAUCAAACAUUUAGAGAAGAGCUAACACCUUCUCAAACUCUUCCAAAAAGUUGCAGAGAGAGAAACACUCCCAAACUCAUUCUACGAGGCCACCAUCACCCUGAUACCAAAACCAGACAAAGAUAUCACAAAAAAAGAAAACGACAGGCCAAUAUCACUGAUGAACAUCGAUGCAAAAAUCCUCAACAAAAUACUAGCAAACAGAAUCCAACAACACAUUAAAAGGAUCAUACACCAUGAUCAAGUGGGGUUUAUCCCAAGGAUGCAAGUGAUGCAGCCACUGUGGAGAACAGUAUGGAGGUUCCUUAAAAAACUAAAAAUAGAACUACCAUAUGACCCAGCAAUCCCACUACUGGGCAUAUACCCUGAGAAAACCACAAUUCAAAAGGACACAUGUACUCCAGUGUUCAUUGCAGCACUAUCUACAAUAGCCAGGACAUGGAAGCAACCUAAAUGUCCAAUGGCAGGGGAAUGGAUAAAGAAGAUGUGGUACCUAUAUAUGGAAUAUUACUUAGCCAUAGAAAGGAAUGAAAUUGGGUCAUUUUUAGAGAUGUGAUUUUUAGAGUCUGUCAUAUAGAGUGAAGAAAGUCAGAAGGAAAAAAAUAAAUAUCAUAUAUUAACGCAUAUAUGUGGAAUCUAGAAAAAUGGUACAGAUGACCCUAUUUGCAGGGCAGGAAUAGAGAUGCAGAUGUAGAAAAUAGAUGUGUGGACACAGGGGGCCUGAGGCAGUAGGUGGUGGGACGAAUUGGGAGAUUAGGAUUGACACAUACACACUACCAUUUGGAAAAUUGAUAGCUAGUGGGAACCUGCUGUGUAGCACAGGGAGCUCAGCUCGGUGCUCUGUGACCACCUGGAUGGGUGGGAUCGGGUUGGGAGAGUGAGGUCAAGAAGGAGGGGAGGGCUUCCCUGGUGGCGCAGUGGUUGAGAGUCCGCCUGCUGAUGCAGGGGACACGGGUUUGUGCCCUGGUCCGGGAAGAUCCCACAUGCCACGGAGCGGCUGGGCCUGUGAGCCAUGGCCGCUGGGCCUGCGCGUCCGGAGCCUGUGCUCCGCAACGGGAGAGGCCACAACAGUGAGAGGCCCGCAUACCGCAAAAAAAAAAAAAAAAAGAAAGAGGGGAUAUAUGUAUACAUAUGGCUGAUUUACUUCACUGUGCAGCAGAAACUAACAACAUUGUAAAGCAACUACUCUCCAGUAAAAAAAAUAAAACAGCUAAAAAAAAUAAGAAUGAAA